rnacentral:rRNA from 1 species
GGCCAGACUCCUACGGGAGGCAGCAGUGGGGGAUAUUGCACAAUGGGGGAAGCCCUGAUGCAGCGACGCCGCGUGGGUGAAGAAGCGCCUCGGCGCGUAAAGCCCUGUCAGCAGGGAAGAAAAUGACGGUACCUGAAGAAGAAGCCCCGGCUAACUACGUGCCAGCAGCCGCGGUAAUACGGAGGAUGCGAGCGUUAUCCGGAUUUAUUGGGUUUAAAGGGUGCGUAGGUUGUUUUAUAAGUUAGCGGUGAAAUACCGAUGCUCAACAUCGGGGCUGCCGCUAAUACUGUAGGACUAGAGAUCGGAUGCAGCAGGCGGAAUGUGUAGUGUAGCGGUGAAAUGCAUAGAUAUUACACAGAACACCGAUUGCGAAGGCAGCUUGCUAGGCCGGAUCUGACACUGAUGCACGAAAGCGUGGGGAUCGAACAGGAUUAGAUACCCGGGUAU